rnacentral:rRNA from 1 species
GUACACUCCUGCGGGAGGCAGCAGUGGGGAAUUUUGAACAAUGGGCGAAAGCCUGAUCCAGCCAUGCCGCGUGCAGGAUGAAGGCCUUCGGGUUGUAAACUGCUUUUGUACGGAACGAAACGGCCUUUUCUAAUAAAGAGGGCUAAUGACGGUACCGUAAGAAUAAGCACCGGCUAACUACGUGCCAGCAGCCGCGGUAAUACGUAGGGUGCAAGCGUUAAUCGGAAUUACUGGGCGUAAAGCGUGCGCAGGCGGUUAUGUAAGACAGUUGUGAAAUCCCCGGGCUCAACCUGGGAACUGCAUCUGUGACUGCAUAGCUAGAGUACGGUAGAGGGGGAUGGAAUUCCGCGUGUAGCAGUGAAAUGCGUAGAUAUGCGGAGGAACACCGAUGGCGAAGGCAAUCCCCUGGACCUGUACUGACGCUCAUGCACGAAAGCGUGGGGAGCAAACAGGAUUAGAAACCCUUGUAGUCCCAUG